rnacentral:miRNA from 1 species
AUAAUAUUGAGAGAGAAAGAGAGAGGAUGAGAGGGAGGAGUAACAAAAAUGAAAAUAAUUUGAAAUUAGUUUCAGUUUUUUGUUUUUGUUUUCACUUUUGUUACUCCUCUUUCUCAUUCUCUCCUCUCAAUUCUAUCUCCACUUUCAU